rnacentral:tRNA from 1 species
GGGUCUGUAGCUCACCUGGGAGAGCGCCUGAUUUGCAUUCAGGAGGUAGCGAGUUCGAUUCUCGUCAGAUCCACCA